rnacentral:rRNA from 1 species
UACGUAGGGGGCAAGCGUUGUCCGGAAUCAUUGGGCGUAAAGCGCGUGUAGGCGGCCAGGUAAGUCCGUUCUGAAAGCCCGGGGCUCAACCCCGGGAGGCGGAUGGAUACUGCUUGGCUCGAGUCCGGAAGAGGCGAGUGGAAUUCCCGGUGUAGCGGUGAAAUGCGCAGAUAUCGGGAGGAACACCAGUGGCGAAGGCGGCUACCUGGACCGGUUCUGACGCUGAUGCGCGAAAGCGUGGGUAGCAAACAGG